rnacentral:rRNA from 1 species
GCGUGCCUAAUACAUGCAAGUCGAACGAACUUCCGUUAAUUGAUUAUGACGUGCUUGCACUGAAUGAGAUUUUAACACGAAGUGAGUGGCGGACGGGUGAGUAACACGUGGGUAACCUGCCCAGAAGCAGGGGAUAACACCUGGAAACAGAUGCUAAUACCGUAUAACAGAGAAAACCGCCUGGUUUUCUUUUAAAAGAUGGCUCUGCUAUCACUUCUGGAUGGACCCGCGGCGCAUUAGCUAGUUGGUGAGGUAACGGCUCACCAAGGCGAUGAUGCGUAGCCGACCUGAGAGGGUAAUCGGCCACAUUGGGACUGAGACACGGCCCAGACUCCUACGGGAGGCAGCAGUAGGGAAUCUUCCACAAUGGACGCAAGUCUGAUGGAGCAACGCCGCGUGAGUGAAGAAGGGUUUCGGCUCG